rfam:TPA: Bos taurus chromosome 22, whole genome shotgun sequence.
UCCUUGGUAGCUUGGACGGUAAAGCGUCUGCCUACAAUGCGGGAGACCCGGGUUCUAUCCCUGGGUCAGGAA